rnacentral:rRNA from 1 species
AUUGAACGCUGGCGGCAUGCCUUACACAUGCAAGUCGAACGGUAACAGGUCUUCGGAUGCUGACGAGUGGCGAACGGGUGAGUAAUACAUCGGAACGUGCCUAGUAGUGGGGGAUAACUACUCGAAAGAGUGGCUAAUACCGCAUGAGAUCUACGGAUGAAAGCAGGGGAUCGCAAGACCUUGUGCUACUAGAGCGGCCGAUGGCAGAUUAGGUAGUUGGUGGGAUAAAAGCUUAACAAGCCGACGAUCUGUAGCUGGUCUGAGAGGACGAUCGGCCCCACUGGGACUGAGACACGGCCCAGACUCCUACGGGAGGCAGCAGUGGGGAAUUUUGGACAAUGGGCGAAAGCCUGAUCCAGCAAUGCCGCGUGCAGGAUGAAGGCCUUCGGGUUGUAAACUGCUUUUGUACGGAACGAAAAGCCCCGGGUUAAUACCCUGGGGUCAUGACGGUACCGUAAGAAUAAGCACCGGCUAACUACGUGCCAGCAGCCGCAGUAA